ACACAGCUUCCAGAACUGUUGAGCUCCCUCCCUCCCUGCAACCAACUGAAGCUGCCUCUACGCCUUCCAUACCUAGCUUCUGUCUGCAGACACUGUCCUGAAAACUGCCCACAUGGCCAGAGGACCUGCCUCUGUGUCUGCUCCCAGACCCCAGCCUCCCGCCUCCCUGCCAAGGAGCCUCCUGGCUCCAGGGCUAUUAAGGGAGGGACCUGUGGGAAGCCCCAGGCAGACAAAGUCCAUGCUGAGGAGCUGGGGCCGGCGCCGGUCCCUCCCCGGCUCGGUGGGCUGGCUCCGAGAGAAGCCCGGAGUGCGGAGCGGGUGAGGUUGACAAGAGACUUAAUGAAAUCCAGAGGGAGGCGCCCUGGCAGGGCCCACCUGGACGGAAGCCCGGGACGUUGGGCCCGGACAAAUCAGGUGUCCAGAACAUGAGGACUCUCAGGCCCCACGGUGUGGCCGCUGACACGCUGUUCCGGCCAUCGCAGCCGUUGCUCCGUCACCCUUGAGCCGCGUCUCAUGGAUCUCCGGGCCUCCAGCGCUGACACCUGCUGCGUCUUGGCGGCCAUCGCAGGCGAAGAAUUGUGACCCGGAGCGCAGACAAAAGGGCUUCAUGAAGACAGUCUGGCGGGCUGGACGGUUGGCCCUGCUGCCUGACAGUAAUGGAGCUCCAUCCCUAGAGGAGAGCAAGCGUGAGCAAACCUUUCGCUGAGCAUUUACUGAGCACCUCCUGUGUACCAGGGCCCAGGAAGCACCGUGGACACGCUCAUGCUCGGGACAUAUGUGGGCCCUACCCUUGAGGGCUCACUAUCUGGACUGUUUCAGAAACAGCAGGUGAGGUCUAAGCAGAGGAAGAUGAAGGAGAACUGGCCAGAUGGGAGGGGGGAAGGGUUGCUUUCCUGACAGAGGGAACAGCGUACAGAGGGCUCAGGGGCCAGAGAGAGAAGGGACUUCAGGAGUAUAGAGUCUGAGCACAGAGGGGAGGCUGGAGGGGGGUGGAUAGUAAGCUGUUGUUCAGUCACUCAGUCGUGUCCGACUCUCUGCGACCCCACGGACUGCAGCAUGCCAGGCCUCCCUGUCCAUCACCAACUCCCGGAGCUUGCUCA
rnacentral:lncRNA from 1 species